GAUGAACGCUAGCGGCAGGCUUAACACAUGCAAGUCGAGGGGUAUAGGUUUUCGGACCUAGAGACCGGCGCACGGGUGCGUAACGCGUAUGCAAUCUACCUUUUGCAGAGGGAUAGCCCAGAGAAAUUUGGAUUAAUACCUCAUAGUAUAACACAAUCGCAUGAUUGAGUUAUUAAAGUCACAACGGCAAAAGAUGAGCAUGCGUCCCAUUAGCUAGAUGGUAAGGUAACGGCUUACCAUGGCUACGAUGGGUAGGGGUCCUGAGAGGGAGAUCCCCCACACUGGUACUGAGAAACGGACCAGACUCCUACGGGAGGCAGCAGUGAGGAAUAUUGGUCAAUGGACGCAAGUCUGAACCAGCCAUGCCGCGUGCAGGAUGACGGUCCUAUGGAUUGUAAACUGCUUUUGUACAGGAAGAAACACUCCUUCGUGAAGGAACUUGACGGUACUGUAAGGAUAAGGAUCGGCUAACUCCGUGCCAGCCGCCGCGGUAA
rnacentral:rRNA from 1 species